rnacentral:misc_RNA from 1 species
UUUAUCUUCAAAAAAAAAAAAAAAUUGCCGGGAAAAUGGAGCUCCAUGGGCACAGAGGUUCAAAUCCUAAGGUUGUUCUUGCAUCCCUGUUGAACAAAAGAGAAAAGCUUCAAGAAGAACUACGAAAUGUUGAAAAACAAGUUUAUGAGCUAGAGACGAGUUAUUUGCAAGAAUCGGGCACAUUUGGGAAUGCGUUAAAAGGCUUUGAAGGAUUUCUAUCAACAUCGAAUAAGAAUUCGAACCUCAAAAGGUCAAGAAAAUUCCAGCUUGAAGAUAGGUUAUUCUCAUUGUCUUCAGUCACUUCACCGGCGGCGGAAGAGCUUGGACUUGGACGUGAAGAUGGAAGACCAGAUCCUACUCAAGGUCGAAUGAGGGGUGGAGCUUUUGCAAAUAAUGGACAGGGUAAACCAAAGAAGGGAAGAACAGGACCACGAGAUGGAAAGAAGUUCCGAAUAUCAAAUGACUUGGAUCUUGACGAUGAAGAUGAUCCAGACUCAAUCUUGAGAUAGCUAUCUCUAACUUUAUAUCAAGAACUGUGUGUUGUUGUCUGUUGUACCAUAGUCGAUUCAAUAAAAUCGUAUAUAACAACUAUGUAUGCAGCUGAUUAAUUUCGAGCUCACUAAGUUAUUUGGUUCCAAAAACUUCCCUUGACAAAGUACAUGCUUUGAGUUUU